AUGGAUUGUCUGAGUGUGCUGCUUCUUUUCUUCUCGGCAGUGGCUGUGAGCAGGGCUCAGGUGCAGCAGGAGCCGUCGGCAGAGACCAGCGAGGGCACCGGCAUCAACAUCACCUGCUCACACCCCAGCAUACAGGCCGAUAACAUCCACUGGUACCGCCAGCUCCCGGGCCGAGGACCCGCAUUCCUCGUCAGCGCCGUUAGAGGUUCCAAGGAGGUGCCGGACCCGGAGGGGCAGGUGUUUGUGUCGGCAGACCGCCGCUCCAGCUCCCUGUGGCUCGCCCGGCCCCGGCUUGGCGACGCGGCCGUGUAUUACUGCGCCGCUGGC